GAUGAACGCUAGCGGCAGGCCUAAUACAUGCAAGUCGAACGGAACUAAUUUUUUCGGAGAUUGGUUAGUGGCGGACUGGUGAGUAACACGUGAGCAACCUACCUAUCAGAGGGAACAACAGUUAGAAAUGACUGCUAAUACCGCAUAUGCCUUAGUAACACAUGUUACAAAAGGGAAAGAAGCAAUUCGCUGAUAGAUGGGCUUGCGUCUGAUUAGCUAGUUGGUGAGGUAAUGGCUCACCAAGGCGACGAUCAGUAGCCGGACUCGAGAGGUUGAACGGCCACAUUGGGACUGAGAUACGGCCCAG
rnacentral:rRNA from 1 species